GCCAGCAGCCGCGGUAAUACGAAGGGUGCAAGCGUUACUCGGAAUUACUGGGCGUAAAGCGUGCGUAGGUGGUUCGUUAAGUCUGAUGUGAAAGCCCUGGGCUCAACCUGGGAAUUGCAUUGGAUACUGGCGGGCUAGAGUGCGGUAGAGGAUGGCGGAAUUCCCGGUGUAGCAGUGAAAUGCGUAGAGAUCGGGAGGAACAUCUGUGGCGAAGGCGGCCAUCUGGACCAGCACUGACACUGAGGCACGAAAGCGUGGGGAGCAAACAGGAUUAGAUACCCUGGUAGUCCACGCCCUAAACGAUGCGAACUGGAUGUUGGGUGCAACUAGGCACUCAGUAUCGAASUAACGCGUUAAGUUCGCCGCCUGGGGAGUACGGUCGCAAGACUGAAACUCAAAGGAAUUGACGGGGGCCGCACAAGCGGUGGAGUAUGUGGUUUAAUUCGAUGCAACGCGAAGAACCUUACCUGGCCUUGACAUGCACGGAACUUUCCAGAGAU
rnacentral:rRNA from 1 species